rnacentral:lncRNA from 1 species
AAGGCUGAUAAGGCUAGGUAGAUAGCUAUUGUUUCGGUGGUCGGCCAAAGCAGACACAAAUUCAUAAACACAAAUACAAGUAAAGUUGUCGAGUUUAUUCUUUAAGUUCACAAAGAAAACACAAGCACAAAUCUUCUUGUGGUCCAUGUAGGAAAAUGAUCGCAGACUGGCACUACUUUGAUUUCAAGUUCAUUCAUCAUUCACCUCUUUAUUGCUAAACUAAGAAGUGAUUGAC